rnacentral:rRNA from 1 species
UACGUAGGGGGCAAGCGUUGUCCGGAUUUAUUGGGCGUAAAGCGCGUGUAGGCGGCUAGGUAGGUCCGCUGUGAAAACUUGAGGCUCAACCUCAAGAGGUCGGUGGAAACCAUCUGGCUAGAGUCCGGAAGAGGAGAAUGGAAUUCCUGGUGUAGCGGUGAAAUGCGCAGAUAUCAGGAAGAACACCCGUGGCGAAGGCGGUUCUCUGGGACGGUACUGACGCUGAGACGCGAAAGCGUGG